UACAGAGGGGGCGAGCGUUGUUCGGAAUUACUGGGCGUAAAGGGCGCGUAGGCGGCCCGCUAAGUCGAACGUGAAAUCCCCAGGCUCAACCUGGGAACUGCGUCCGAUACUGGCAGGCUUGAAUCCGGGAGAGGGAUGUGGAAUUCCUGGUGUAGCGGUGAAAUGCGCAGAUAUCAGGAAGAACACCAAUGGCGAAGGCAGCUCUCUGGGACGGUACUGACGCUGAGACGCGAAAGCGUGGGGAGCGAACAGG
rnacentral:rRNA from 1 species